GCCUACGGCUGUACCACCCUGAACACGCCCAAUCUCAUCUGAUCUCGAACGCUAAGCAGGGCUGGGCCGGCUUAGUAUUUGAAUGGGGGACCACCUAGCAACACCUGGUGCUGUAAUCU
rnacentral:rRNA from 1 species